GUAACUCCCAUUACUUAAUGACCUCUGAAGGAUAACAACAGGCAGAACCAACUAACCCUGAAAAGUGACAGAAGAUGAACUCUAAAUGUCAAAAUAUAGAACUGAAUGAUGGGCACUUCAUACCUGUGCUGGGCUUUGGAACUGCUGUACCUGCAGAGUUUCCCGAAAGUAAGAUUAAGGAGAUCAUCAAAGUAGCUAUAGAUGUUGGCUUCCGUCAUUUUGAUUCUGCUCCUGUUUAUAAAACUGAAGAUUAUGUGGGAGAGGUCAUCCGAAGUAAGAUUGCUGAUGGCACUGUGAGGAGAGAAGAUAUAUUUUUGACAUCCAAGGUUUGGUGUAAUUGUCUUCGCCCAGAACUGGUGAGAUCUUCUUUGGAACGGUCAUUGAAGAAAUUUCAGUUGGACUAUGUGGACCUUUACCUCAUACAUUUCCCAAUGGCCCUGAAACCAGGAGAAGAAAAUUUACCAGUAGAUGAACAUGGAAAAUUAAUAUUUGACACAGUGGAUCUCUGUGCCACAUGGGAAGCCUUGGAGAAGUGUAAGGAUGCAGGACUGACCAAGUCCAUUGGAGUGUCCAAUUUUAACCGCAGGCAGCUGGAGAUGAUCCUGAACAAGCCAGGGCUCAAGUACAAGCCUGUGUGUAAUGAGGUAGAAUGCCAUCCUUAUCUCAACCAAAUGAAACUUCUUGAUUUCUGCAAGUCAAAUGAUAUUAUACUGGUUGCCUAUGGUGUCCUGGGAACACAACGAUAUACAGGAUGGGUGGACCCGAGCUCCCCUGUUCUCUUGGAUGAACCAGUUCUACAUUCCAUGGCAAAGAAAUACAAUCAAACUCCAGCCUUGAUUGCCCUUCGCUAUCAGUUACAGCGUGGGCUUGUGGCCCUCAACACCACUAUCAAAGAAAAGCGAGUCAAAGAGAACAUCCAGGUGCUGAGUUAGACUGUGGGCUUCAAAACUGUUCACACUGAUUCACCCCAAUGUACUUCUUUGGCAACUCUUGAUUCUAUAUCACCCUAGUCCUUCUAUCUUGCUUUCCCAUGCCCUUGUGUCAUAUAUAUAUGAAGGGUUUAUCCUUAUCUGUAAUAACACUAUAGUUUUUGUUGCAAUAUAGAAUUAGAAUUAGGUUCAAGACAGACUCUUGUUCUCAGCAUUGCAAUGGCAAUGCACCCAUUAACCUUAAGUGAAUGAAAUGUUCCUUUGUCUUCUGAAAUGAAAUGGACUUAGUCUAGAUAAUGGGUCUUCAAAUUAUUUAUGUCCUAUUUUGUAGUUUCCUUGCACACACAUUUAUUUUAACACACAGGCAUUUAUCUUCUUAAAAUUUAAUUUUGUCACCUUUCAAAUCCCGUAGAGUAUCUUUCUUUUCAAAUAGAUCAUUUAUUUUUAUUAUGAAUAAUUGUAUGAGUUUAGAAAACAACCAUUUCAAUGCACGGGCUCCACAUAUGAAGCAGUCAUGCAAUUGUUCUUUGUAAGGACUUCAUAUAUAAAACAUUUAUGUAAGCCAUUUUUCUGCGGUUAGAUUUUUUGUGUGUCUCCUCUGACCUCAAAGAGAUUUUCCAUGCUUGGAUGUGUUCUGUCACAUCGGCUCUAAGACGUAGACUGCAUUGUCUGCAGUGGAGCCUGUCUCAUCUCUAUGUAGUUCCUUGCUCUCUCAUCCACAUACAUAGUCUUCUAUCUCUGUCCCUUAUUUCCAAAUUAUUAUUGUUACAUAUAUCUUAUUUAUAUAUUUGUAUGCACCAUUGUAUAAAUUAAACAUGCUGAGUCCAUUUUUGUUGAUAGUACAUAUAUAGCUUCUGAGCAGAUCACUUUGUAUUGGACAAGUUAGGAGGAUCGUCCCUGGGAGAGGCUCCCUCUUCCUCUGGCAUUAUUAUAGUCUUAUUGUGAAUCCAUUAACUAUGUUUAUGUAUUCUGGAAAUCUAUUGGUCUCAGUUUCUGAAGUGGAUUUUAAAGCUUUUACUAUAAAAAAUGCUGUAGUUUUCAAAUUUUCAUUAAGUAACAUAAGGAGAAAUGCCUCUCUAUAUAUUAAGAUUCUUCGUUACUUUCUAUUUGGUUGACUGAUGCUAAUUAUUCCUGUGUGCAACACACCCAUAUUCUUCUCUAUUAUUUUGAAAAUAUCCUCUGUUCUUUCCAUCUCAUUUUUUAUAUUCCACCAAAAUUACUGUUUUGUAAUUUCAAGUGUUAACCAAAGCAUAUGUACAAUUUAAAAAUGGAUAAUUAGAUUCACUAUCUAUGACUAUGCAUCUGUCCUCACCCUUGUGGUCAAUUAUCAUAUUUUUCGUAGUACAAAUUUAGUUUGGCUAUCUCAAAUGAAAAUGUUUCUUAUUUCUCCUCUUUCUUAAACACAGCUUGAUGAUUUUUUUGUUUGUUAUUUUACAUUUCCUUAUUUUUGUUGUGAUUUUGAUUUAUUUUCUGAUAAAUAUCUUGUGCCUACAUCCUCUGUGCAGAGGCUCCAGCUAAGCAAUUGCUUUCGUGAAUGACUGCUGUUCCCUUGUGGUGUUACUGAAAAAUUAGAGAAAAAAUGUUUUAAAAAAUUAAAACAUCUAGGGAAGUUAAGUGUUUUGUGUUGUAUAUGUCAAGGGAGUUUUCUGGACUUUGGGUUGAGUUUGGUUUUGUGGGCAAUUUUGUAUUUCCUAACAAUAGUUUACUUUGAGGUUGUCAUUUUUGAAGUAGUCUAGCCUUAAACUAGCAAUGCAGGUGAAAAUGACCAAGGACUUCUAAUUUUUGCCAUUUACACCAAGUGGUGGCAUUAGAGACAGGUGUCAUCACACCUGGCUUGCCUUGGUUAUUUUUUUUUUAUGUAAUAAAAAUGUUUAGAAUCCACUUUCUAACUCUCAACCAGAGUGUUAAGUUUGUAUUUGUUUUCACAUCUGUUCAUAAUUUUGGAGACUAUGAGGUUUAGGUAGUACUGUUCUGUCCAAACCAUGAUCAUUUUAUUGGAAUUUGCAGUUACAUAGAUGAUAUUUUAUGUACUCCCAUAAUUUUCACAAUAAGUAACUGCUUAUAUUCUGUCUCAUUUAUACAUAGAAAACAUGUAAUUUUGUGAAUUUCUUGAUAUUGCAUUUUUGUUUCAUCAACUUUGAAAUAUUCAGGAUAUUUUGCAUUUAUUCUGUCAAUUACAUGACUAAGUUGCUGUAUGAUUGAUAUUUUUAUUCUCUAAUUCUUUCUUGGUGUUGAUUUUCAGAUCAAAACAAUUUAUUGAUCCAUUUGUUUACAUACAUUAACAAUUAUGAUCAUUUUGUUGAUUAAACUGCCCAAAGUGUAUUAAAGAUGACCACUUUGAGACCA